UACGGAGGGAGCUAGCGUUAUUCGGAAUUACUGGGCGUAAAGCGCACGUAGGCGGCUUUGUAAGUUAGAGGUGAAAGCCUGGAGCUCAACUCCAGAAUUGCCUUUAAGACUGCAUCGCUUGAAUCCAGGAGAGGUGAGUGGAAUUCCGAGUGUAGAGGUGAAAUUCGUAGAUAUUCGGAAGAACACCAGUGGCGAAGGCGACUUACUGGACACAUAUUGACGCUGAGGUGGCGAAAGCGUGGGGAGCAAACAGG
rnacentral:rRNA from 1 species